ensembl:misc_RNA 7SK 7SK RNA
GGAUGUGAGGGUGCUCUCACUGCAACAUCUGUCACUCUAUGGAUUGCCAGGGUUGAUUUGGCCCAUCUGACUGUCCAGGCAGGUGUCCCCUUCCUCCUUCACUGCUCCAUGUGCAUCCCACCUGAAGCUGUGUGCUUGGUCAAAGAGGACGAUCAUCCCUGAUAGAGAAGGGCCAGUCUUCAGGCAAGGAUAUACAAGUAGCUGCACUCCCCUGCUAGAACCUACAGUCAAGCUUUCAAGAAAAGGCUCAGGUAUGGCCGGGUGCAGUGGCUCAUGCCUGUAAUCCCAGCACUUUGGGAGACUGAGGCAGGCAGAUUGCCUGAGG